UGCCAGCAGCCGCGGUAAUACAGAGGCCUCAAGCAUUAUCCGGAUUCACUGGGCGUAAAGGGUGCGUAGGCGGUUAUAUUAGUCGGGUGUUAAAUCCUGGGGCUCAACCUCAGAAUCGCAUUCGAAACGGUAUAACUAGAAGAUGUGAGAGGUGAACAGGACUCUCGGUGUAGGGGUGAAAUCCGUUGAUAUCGAGGGGAAUACCAAAUGCGAAGGCAGUUCACUGGCGCAAUCUUGACGCUGAGGCACGAAAGCGUGGGUAGCGAACGGGAUUAGAUA
rnacentral:rRNA from 1 species